UACCUUUUUCUCGUGAUUUUUAUUUAUUUAGAAAUAUAAGAUGGUGCAAGUAGGUACCUACAGUCGAAUUCAGAGGAUAGUUUAUCUAUAACAAUUAUGAAAUUAUCUAGUGCUCAUUGUACCUCAUACCUAGUAGUAUCUAGGGUGUAAGGACAGCCAAUGUCUGUAUUCAGAAGCCCUCUGAAUUCAUUAUGCAGUGAAGAAGCCCUUUAGAUUUGACCCAUGACUAGCAGUCGCCAUUUUGUCCACUUCAAAAUGAAAUUUAGAAAAAGGAGGUUCAAAGGCAGAAUUAUAUCUUCUUUCACCUAAUUAUAACGCUGGCUUUUUACUCUUCGUCGGUGACAUUUCCGUUUUGUCGGUUUUAUAACCAUUCGCCUUUCCUUAUUUUAUACAACUUUUUAUAUCGGCGAAAUGAUAUUUGUUGGAUAAAAUAUACAAUUUAAGUAGCCGUUACUUUAAAACGGCAAAAUAAAAUAAAAUGAAUCUAAACGAGCUCUUGAAAGAGUGUCCGCAACAUGCUUACUAUCCUAAUAACGAAUACUCUGAAGAACUAGGGCUGAUUGACUACGAGCCGACUGAGGCUCGUAGAGAAUGGACCUCUCAGACCACUAUAUGGAUGAUGGCGUUUGCUCUACUGCUGUGGUUGAUCACGUAUCUCAUGGUCAUGACCCUAACCAUGUGCUUCGACAUCAGUUUUCGGACCAUGUCGAGUUUCACCGGCAUACAUUGGUACAAUGGAACUUUGUUAGCUAGCGAGGAUCAUUCAAGAUACAUUAUAGCUUAUUAAA
rnacentral:lncRNA from 1 species